rnacentral:rRNA from 1 species
CCUACGGGGGGCAGCAGUGGGGAAUAUUGGACAAUGGGGGGAACCCUGAUCCAGCCAUGCCGCGUGUGUGAAGAAGGCCCUCGGGUUGUAAAGCACUUUCAGUGAGGAAGAACGCCUGGUGGUUAAUACCCAUCAGGAAAGACAUCACUCACAGAAGAAGCACCGGCUAACUCCGUGCCAGCAGCCGCAGUAAUACGGAGGGUGCGAGCGUUAAUCGGAAUUACUGGGCGUAAAGCGCGCGUAGGUGGCUUGAUAAGCCGGUUGUGAAAGCCCCGGGCUCAACCUGGGAACGGCAUCCGGAACUGUCAAGCUAGAGUGCAGGAGAGGAAGGUAGAAUUCCCGGUGUAGCGGUGAAAUGCGUAGAGAUCGGGAGGAAUACCAGUGGCGAAGGCGGCCUUCUGGACUGACACUGACACUGAGGUGCGAAAGCGUGGGUAGCAAACAGGAUUAGAUACCCCUGUAGAC